rnacentral:lncRNA from 1 species
UAAAGUAGGGAUGUAAACGGCCCGGAUUCGGGGCUGAUUUUCAAAACCCGAAUCCGACUCCAAACCCGAAACCCAAAUCUGAAUCCGAACCCGACGAAUUUUAAAAAUCCAUAUCCAAAUUCGAACCUGACCAAAAACCCGAAACCAGAAACUUGAACCUGAAACAAUUAUUUCGCUUUUCAAUAUUUCAAAAUAUAUUAUAUUAAAUUUUAAUUUUUAAAAUAUAAAUUCAAAUAUAAUAUCAAAUUUUUAUUUACAUAUUAUAUAUAUAAUGUAAAAUAAAUUCGGCUUAGGAUCAGGUUCGGGUCAGGUACCGUCAAAAUCCAUAUCUGUAUUCAUAUUUGUCGGAUUUUUGUUUUUGACAUCCAUAUAUAUCCGAAACUAUAUUCAUUUAGCAUCAGAUAAAUUCGCUCCGUUUGGGUUCCGAUUCGGAUUCGAAUAAAAUUUCUGGUAUCCGUACCCAUUGACAUCCCUAAU